rnacentral:rRNA from 1 species
CCUACGGGGGGCUGCAGUCGAGAAUCAUUCACAAUGGGGGAAACCCUGAUGGUGCGACGCCGCGUGGGGGAAUGAAGGUCUUCGGAUUGUAAACCCCUGUCAUGUGGGAGCAAAUUAAAAAGAUAGUACCACAAGAGGAAGAGACGGCUAACUCUGUGCCAGCAGCCGCGGUAAUACAGAGGUCUCAAGCGUUGUUCGGAAUCACUGGGCGUAAAGCGUGCGUAGGCUGUUUCGUAAGUCGUGUGUGAAAGGCGCGGGCUCAACCCGCGGACGGCACAUGAUACUGGGAGACUAGAGUAAGGGAGGGGGAGCCGGAAUUCUCGGUGUAGCAGUGAAAUGCGUAGAUAUCGAGAGGAACACUCGUGGCGAAGGCGGGUUCCUGGACAGUAACUGACGCUGAGGCACGAAGGCCAGGGGAGCGAAAGGGAUUAGAUACCCUUGUAGUC